rnacentral:misc_RNA from 1 species
CUGCGUGCGAGCUCAGUGUUCUCCCUGCGCACUGCGGAGCUCUGGCUUAGCCUUCUUCCCAGCGCCGCGGUCCCUUCCAGCUCCCUCUGCCGCGGCCUCCCACUCCCCAGCCGAUUUCUCUGCGCGCGGUCCUCCCUGCUCGCGUCGCGAAUUCCCUGCCAUGGCCGAUGUGCCUCGCGCGGACCGUGCCCAGCCUCUUCAGCGCUCGGCCUCCAGUCCAACAUCGCGCGCUCCUCCUCUGUCGCCCAUGGCGCGCGCCUAUUCCUUGGCCAGGUUCGCCGGCGUUCCUCCCGCGCCCUGCUCGCCGAUGGAGCUCGGCGCCCAGCUUUCCUGCGCGCCGGCCUGAACUCCAGUCGUCGCGCCCUCCUGCUCCCUAUUUCCUGCUCGCCCUCCUUGCUUCUUUCUUCCUUGCGGCGCUCACUCUCUGCUUCUCUCCCUCGAGCUUGCCGCGAUGCUUUUCUCCUGCUCCCAUGGCUGCUCGCCCAGCCAUCUUCCAUGGCCGUCGCGUCCCUGCUCUCCUCUCUGCCGGCGUCCAGCCCUAACUCGGAUUCCCCUCUCCCGUGGCGCGUCCAAAGCACUGCUCCUCCACCGUGCCGCGUUCCAGCUCGGACUACUCUGCUCCUGCGCGCGUCGGAUCCCAGCUCGUCGGUCGCCCGCGUCUCUGUUCUUCUGCGCCGCCGUUCCCUGCACCGGACAUGGAAAUCCCUCGUCCGCGACUCCCUGUAA